rnacentral:rRNA from 1 species
UCGACCUGAACUCAGACGUGAACACCCGCUGAACUUAAGCAUAUCAGUAAGCGGAGGAAAAGAAACUAACGAGGAUUCCCGUAGUAACGGCGAGUGAACUGGGAAGAGUCCAGCGCUGAAUCACUUCUCCUCUGGGGUUGUGAGGUGUAGCGUACAGACCGUGAGCUUGGAUUGGCCCGCUUGUUCAANUUUCCCUUGACCGGGGCUCCNNAGAANGNGCAAGACCUGUCCAGCGGGUGGUUGCCUAUCCNUCUUCGCGUNUCUNGGAGUCGGGUUGUUUGGGAUCGCAGCCCAAAGUAGGUGGUAAAMUUCAUCUAAGACUGAAURCGGCCACGAGUCCGAUAGCGAACAAGUACCGUGAGGGAAAGUUGCAAAGCACUUUGAAGAGAGAGUUAAAGAGGACGUGAAACCGAUGAGAUGGAAACGGACAGAGCUGGCGUAUCUGGUCUGCAUUCAUCCGUGUGUUCUUGGGCGUUUGGAUUGCCAAUCUCCAGACUGGGAUGGUGUUCMUUCUGCUCAGGGGCUCAUGGAGCAUUUGCAGGCGGAGUGCGCUGAGAUGCUCGGGACAGCUGCAUGAGCUUGGCUUUGAGGCCAGCCCUUCGGGGUCUGGUACCCGGGCUGUGGGAGUGCUGUUUGUUCUGGGUGCUGAGUGUGUGCAAUGGCAACGGGUCCGUGUUGGUUUGAGCUGGUGGUUGGUGGCGGUCGCGUGCGACACGUGCCGGCAGUCAGUUCGGUCCUGCUCGGGCUCUCAUUGCAUGUUCUCGGUGUAAAAGCCGGUCAUCUGUCCGACCCGUCUUGAAACACGGACCAAGGAGUUUAGCGUGUGCGCGAGUCAUUGGGAGUUGAAAACCCAAGGGCGUAAUGAAAGUGAAGGUCUCCUUGCGGAGCUGAUGUGUGAUCUCGUGCACCCCGGUGUGCGGGCGCAACAUAGUCCCGUCCCGAUCGCAUGCGAUGGGGCGGAGACAGAGCGUACGCGCUGAGACCCGAAAGAUGGUGAACUAUUCCUGAGCAGGAUGAAGCCAGAGGAAACUCUGGUGGAAGUCCGAAGCGAUUCUGACGUGCAAAUCGAUCGUCUGACUUGGGUAUAGGGGCGAAAGACUAAUCGAACCAUCUAGUAGCUGGUUCCCUCCGAAGUUUCCCCCAGGAUAGCUGGAGCUCGUCAAGCAGUUAUACUCGGUAAAGCGAAUGAUUAGAGGACUUGGGGACGAAAUGUUCUUAACCUAUUCUCAAACUCUAAAUGGGUAUGAAGCCAGGGUUGCUUGACUCUGAACCCCGGCGUUGAAUGUUUGAGCUCCAAGUGGGCCAUUUUUGGUAAGCAGAACUGGCGAUGUGGGAUGAACCAAACGUGGAGUUAAGGUGCCAAAGUGCCCGCUCAUUAGACCCCAUAAAAGGUGUUGGUUGAUAUAGACAGCAGGACGGUGGCCA